rnacentral:lncRNA from 1 species
UGAACCUGCGCCGUUACAGAUUGAGCCUUAAGUUCUUCAACCCUAGCUUUAACUACUUAAAAGUCUUGAUCAGCUUCUAGGAUAUCACUUCGAUGAUUUUCAAUUGCCAAUUCCUCUGAGGAGAUGACGUCAGGGAACACAGUAACCAAAGCCUCUUGAGCGAAAGCAACUUCCUUAGGCAUCUUGAACAAUCUUGUUCACCGGUUCACGAAGCUUCUCUUUGUUAGCCCCCCAUGAACCUGCAACUGAUAUCAGUUGAGACAUAGAAGUUGAAGUUGUCCUCAGGUCUGCCAAUAAAUAGUUGCCCAAAGAUCUAAAACGAACCUCACCACUUCCUGACCCAUCUUCUUCUGCCCUUCCCCUAGGUUUGUCGAAUACUUCAUCGUGAAUUGAACCAAGGCCUCUGGAAGAGCAGGGACAAUGACCAAAUCCGUUGCAG